ACGGGAGGCAGCAGUGGGGAAUAUUGGGCAAUGGGCGAAAGCCUGACCUAGCAACGCCGCGUGAAGGAAGAAGGUCUUCGGAUUGUAAACUUCUUUUAUGAGGGACGAUAAUGACGGUACCUCAUGAAUAAGCCACGGCUAACUAUGUGCCAGCAGCCGCGGUAAUACGUAGGUGGCAAGCGUUAUCCGGAUUUACUGGGUGUAAAGGGCGCGUAGGCGGGAAAGCAAGUCAGAUGUGAAAUCCAUGGGCUCAACACAUGAACUGCAUUUGAAACUGUUUUUCUUGAGUGUCGGAGAGGUAGAUGGAAUUCCUAGUGUAGCGGUGAAAUGCGUAGAUAUUAGGAAGAACACCAGUGGCGAAGGCGAUCUACUGGACGAUAACUGACGCUGAGGCGCGAAAGCGUGGGGAGCAAACAGGAUUAGAUACCCUGGUA
rnacentral:rRNA from 1 species